rnacentral:lncRNA from 1 species
CUUCGUCGGAUCUAGUAGUACAGUGGUAGUGAGAGUCUUAUUAGUGGUAGUAGCAGUAUUGUAGUGGUUGUGAUAGUGCCAUGGAGGGAGAGGCAUUUGUUUUGGUGGUCCGCCGGGCGGAUGGAUCUGAGGGUUUCGUGUGGGGAUUUUGAGAGGUUUUUGAGGGUGGAUUUGAUUAGCGUGGUUGGUGUGAGUCUAUUCCUAUUAUUUAGUCGCGUCUUGUGUACCUAGUGCUCACUGGCUCUGAGAGUAUUAUUAUUAUUGUUAUGGAUUUAUGAUAUUAUUAUUAUUGUUAUAUUAUUCUCGCGUAUCAUCUCUGUUCAGUUUCAGUAGAUUUAUGCUUAUUAUCAGCAAAAUUCACUGAAAUUUCAUAGAAGAUCACUGUCGCAAAAUCUUAAAUUCACGGUGUGUUAUGAGACCGAUUCCGUUGGGCAUCUGCCCUGUCCAGACACUGCGAGGUGUAUGGUUUUGGCAUGCCCUGCUGAGAAUCUGAGCAGAUUGAUAUGAUUCGAGAUGGAAUUUUGUGUGUGCGCGACAUGUGUCCCGGCAUGAAGGGAAGGGUAGAAAGCUUGAGACCGAGGCAGCUUAAAGGCUAAGCAAGCACACGCACGCAGUACGUGUGAGCGAGGGAGGCCGCGCCAGAGCGGAGAUGGAGAUGCCUGUACGGCGUGGCCCACCUGUUUGGGCAGCACAUGGGCAGCGGUUGGGGGUUCGUUGUGACCACCUGGCCGACGCCCCCGCCACCCAGAGGAAUAGCUCAAUCGCAUCGCGUUGCCAAGACUUUCCAGAAUUUUCUGCGUGUAUAAUGCGCCCUUCCAUACUUGGGAAUCCUGGGAAUUCCCCCUCCCAAACGACGCUAACCAGAAUACCAAACGACGCUAACCAGAAUAGGAAUCCAUCCACGCUAACAAAGAAAUGGGAAUCCUGAUGUUCCUUGGUACCCAUGAGCUUUCCAGCUGAACUCGUCGACAAAGAAGCCCAUCAGAAAACAAAACGACAUCUAAGCUAGACGCGAACCAUGUUCGGGCCAAAUGCCGGCCCUCUAAGCAUGGCCCAGAACUUAAUUUAUUAUACUCGAUGCUAAAAAUUGCUUUCAAAGAUUAUCCUAAAACAAAGAUAUCCAUCAAGAUAGCAAAAAGUUGAGAAUAUUUCAUCAGAGGGAGAAAGGAAAACAGCCAAACAGGCAUGAAAGAGCCGAUGAACCUGGGGCCUCAACUAAUUAUAAGCCUGAGGUCAGCAACAAUAAACUUGAACUUAUAAUCUUAUUCCUUUCCCUGACGAACUAGGCAUAUCGACAAGAUUAUCUGUUUAUUUGUGACAAGAAUCAAAACAAUUGGUGGACCAAAAAUGACUUUCUUCUCCAAUGGAAGGUCAUGGCAGCACCUAUACCAUAAUAUAGGAACUAACUAAACCGUUCAGCUUGCUUCCCCCCCCCCCCCCCCCCCCCCCCCCCCCCCCCCCCCCCCCCCAGCCUACCUCACGGACAAAAAAGAGAGAAGAUCUCCGAUUAGAAGCUAAUCCAAGUAGAAAAGCGUCACGAUCUUCCGAAGGUUCUUGGCCUCCUGGCAUGUCUCCAUCAGCAGCUUGCUGUCAUGGAACGCGAAGCAGAUCACCUGUUGGAUCUUCGAGAUGAUGUCCAUGUUGCAUAACCUGAAGGUUACAAGAGUUGCCAUUAAGCAUAAAGAUGAUAUUCAAGAAGCAAUACUGAUUUACAGAAAAUGUGACUUGUCUUUCAGUUCGUCAAAUAGGCAAAAAGACAGAUGCUCGUCGUCUAGAAUACAACAGAUAAACCCCAAAAGUUUACGACCUGUCGCCAUAAUAGUGUAGUAUCAACUCUGAAAAAUAAACUACUCUACAGCUACAGAUGCAUACCCUUGGCCCUUGGGCAGACCCCAAUCUAGAGCUAUAGUUCAUGGCGUCAACCUGUCCAAUGCUUGUUUCGCGUAAGUUCUGUAAAUGAGGCAUCAGAUACUCUUGCAGAAUGUACAGAACAUAGUAUUUGUUUUUCAUGGCAUUAUGAGGUUACUAAUAGUAUUCCAACCAUCUAUGUAACAAUCAAUGAGUUAAAAAAAGUGAUGUCGGUUUUCAUCAAAAGCAUAGUCUCUGACAAGUGCUGGAACUAAAUGAUACACUGAUCAGGCAUGGACCGAAUACAUGUAGCGACACCAUUGGUAACAAAAAAUAUACAAUAUAGGAAAAGUAUGAGCAAUUUCGAAAGGUAGCUGACCAACCUGCUAGCCUCAAUCAGUGGCAAAUGGUCAUACUGUGGUUUCUCAAUCAAAUUUUGUACCUACAAAGUAUACAAAACCUUACUGAAGCAUUUUAAAUUUUACCAUAUGGAAAUGGAACAUCAGGAGGAUGCUAUUUAACUCCUGAGGCAUGCUAUUGGAAUUAAUGCAUAUGACAGUGGAUGCCUAAUAAUCUCACUAUCUAGCCAGAAUCCUAGAUCAUAGGAUAAUGCUGAUGUUUUCUGAACAAUUGCAAGCGGGUUCUGGCCUGGUUGGCUAGCUCAUUGUAGAGCGGAGCUAGCAACCGCGGUUUGAAUCCCUGUUUGCACAGAUAUUAAGCCAUCUAAUAUGGCCGGGGGCUAAACCCCUGUAAUCGUUUUUUUUCCUGAAAACUUCAGAUGCCAUGGUGAGACAUUCCUAACCAAAUUGAUCGCAUUGAUUUUUAAGCAUAUUUACAAUCAAGCUUGAUAAAGAUAGCAACAAAACACCCUAAGGAUCCAAAAUUAAAUACAAACUUUCUUAUGUUUUCUUGUGUAAGAACAGAUGUACAACAGAACUGAAGGUUAAUGGUAACAGCAGAAUUAAUUCAGAAGCCUGCAGUGAAAAUAAAUAGAAUGCUCUCUUGGUGAAGGAUGAAUCAGGUCAACUAUUUAUCUUCGUAUUACUCUAUAGUCUAUACAGAAGAGCAUACACAUAACAAUAACGAAGCACAAUGUUCUCCUAAAGAAUGUUUACAUGUAUGGUCAGGGGAUAUCAAACUAAAAAGAAUUGGCUGUAAGACCUAACUCAGAGAUGAUAAUACUGUAGUUUACUGUAAACAAAGUAUCAUCAAACAUCAGUUCAUUGAUAGAAAAACACAACUAAGGAAGCUCAUGCAUUUGUCAUACAACCAGCAUCAUCAUGCCUACACCAAUUUGAAUAUCAUAUAGAUUACAAACAUGAUUCAUACACAAGCAUGGGUACAUCUUCUCCUUUUUCGUGGAGCACUAAGAAAUUCUGCAUAACUUGUCUCAAUAUGCUGAAUUUAAUGCGAUGAGCAGUCUAUCAAUACAAAAUCACUAAAUGCCAGCACUAAAUAUAUAGAACAACAGGUAUAUUGGCGCGCAUAGGAAUCUAUACGAAUAGGUCUGGAACUAAUUUUGACUAGAAAAUGACAAGUCAGAAUAGAAAUAUCAGGAAGUCUUACUUUGGACAACAGUUCUUGGCUUUCAGGAGGUUGCUUCUUUAGACUCUGAGGUAAAAUUACAGUAAGCAACUCUGGCUUUUCAGCUCUUAAAGCGCCCCUGAUAACAGCUGCAUUAGUUCCGGAAGCCCCAGAUGUGAAUAUAUGAUUUUUCUGCAAUUUCUACACAAAUAUUACUAACAAUGCUAGAGGACUCAAAGACCAUAUGAAUGGCAACAUCAAAUAAAUCAGGGAGAUCAUAUGAAUCAGUGAAUCACAGUAGCACAUAAAUAAAGAACAUACUGUUAUGACCAUAGCAUAGCUCAGGAUCUCAAUAAGCUGCUGAUGCAUAUACCCCAUGUUGCGGGUUCCAAAGAAACCUAUUGCACGAGGUCCUUGUUGCUGAAUAGCCAACAGCUCCUGCAUGACCACCAAUUAAAUGAGAUCAGUUUGCAGGAUAAAUCAAUUCAUAAACGCCAUGUAUACAAAGUAGCAUUCAUUAUUGAAAGUCUGAUUGUACUAAACUAACUUUCAGAGGUAACCACUAAAGUUAACUUUGAGUAAACUGAACAGAAAAAAACAAAACACAAUGUAAAAUGAGCAGAAACAUUACCUGUAGGUAAUCUAGAUCAGGGAUCGGCUUGUAUUCUGGUUCAGCAACCAUUGCAGUACCCUUGACAAGAGUCUCUGUCUGAGUAGGAAUCUUUACACCAUCAUCAUCUGGCCCAAACAUAAUAGUAUCAUCUCUUCCUUGACUCCUCACAUCACCUUCAUGCCCAUCUCUUUGCAUGUAUCCGCAGAGCAACUAUACGAGCACAAUAAAAACAGAACCUGGCAGUAAAUCAUUAGUGAAAACCAAAUAUAUUACAUCAUACUAAAUAAAGUUUCCAGUUUUACAAUUUUACUUUGCACCUGUGCUGAUUCUUCAAAGUCAGCUAGCCAUCAAGUAAUCCCAGAUCUAAAGUAACACCAUACCACAACAAGGGCCACAGCAAUUUAGGACACAACCUAAAUUCAGUGAGCGGAUUUGUAUACCCAUUUUAAACCCAACUUUCUGAAGACACAGCAGAAACUUUGAAUAAAAGAUACCAACAAAGGUGACGAGAAUCCCAAGCAUUGGAUUCUGAAUAAAUGUAAAGGGCAGGCUGAAUCCAAUUCAGUGGAGCAUGUAUUUAAAGGGAUCUAGAAGUGUAGCCUUUGAGUUGCACAGUUCACCCUUUAAAGGUAUGCUAAAGAAAAAUAAUACAAACACUUUUGACAUGUAAUGAUAAUAGCCUGCAACAUUUAUCUGCAAAAGAUGAUUAACUUUAUGAAUGGUGCAUAUCUUUACCAUCUAUCAGCCAGAAAGUUCCAUCAAUUGAGGUCGGUCCUAUUCUGAGGCGACCAUGACUUACUCUGCACCUUAGUCCCAACCGCGCACGGUUUGGAUUGACGGGAGCAUAGCUCAGAUGCAGGAAGGUGUGAAUGACAUUAAUAAACUUUAGGCACAGGAUCUAAGCAUCAGCAACACAAGCAGGAUCGCUUGUUACAGUGGACUGUUAAAAUAUCUAAUUUUGACGAACUUUUUCCUUUCCACGGUAAGAAUUUUGAGAUCUCAUUGCACCUAUCAAUCUACCAUGCUAUAUAUUUCUAUUGCAAUUAUGGUGUGACUACAGAGUCUGUAUACUGUAAGUACAGAUCACAGAGGAUUAACAUGCAUGUAAUCUUGAUUUGUGUCGAAUUUGAAGGAAUUAUGAUGGCAACCAAUAUCAAUACACACUCAAUUUGAGACCAUCUUGCAUUCUUGUCUGUCAUUUCUCUCUUUUUCUUAGAACGUGAAAUUACAAUCACCGCAGCAAUCCAAUCAAUAAACAGUUACGAGGAGGGGGAAAUUAUCUUUGGAGGUGAAUUCUACUCCAACCAACCCAUGAUAUCACACAGCGCACACAACAAAACAAGUUUAUAUGUAGGCAAAGUACCCGGUUCAGCCGUGCCACUGCCGGCGGCUGCUUGGUCGCCUGAGCCCAUCCCAGCAAGACGCCGCCGGGGCUCCUCGCGGCCGAGGAACAGUGCAAGAAGCCGCCGAGUCUCAAGUUCAUUCGCGGCGGCGUCCUCAACGAGGGAAGACCGCCAACGGGCGCCGCGGCGCAAGAACCCGCCAUCGUCAUCCGGCCGCCGAUUCCAAUCUACGCAGAGGAGGGAGGGGGAGAACCGCGUGAACUGCUGUGCGUGGCGGCGCUCUCGUGACCAAACCGAGGAUGGCCGCGCGGCGCGGCGCAGGUCAUGUCAGAGGAGGGGGAGGGAAUUGCUGGGUGGGCUGGGGAUGAGACGAGAGAGAGGGAGGGAGGGAGGGAGUGAGACUGGACUGGCUCAAGCCGGUUUGGUCCUCUGGCGGCCUCGCUGGCUGCUGUGGUGCGCUUGUGGGGAGGAGCUGGACGCCUUUGGAUAAAAGGUGGCGCACCACCUUGUUUGCCGUUUUUGCGUGCCUCUUCUCUCGACUCUCGUCUAGUUGUUCUUCUACGUUUCUUAUCGAGAAUACUCUUUCUUAUUUUGAUUUUUUUUGUCAGACUGUUUUAGGGUUUUUAUCUAGAACACCUGGCUUAAGGAUAGGAAAAAAUAAACCCUAUUCCAAAUUUCAGGGUUCAUUACUAUACUACUAUCACAUCUCAAAUUUCAUAUCAAUGAGUAUGCGUGCACUUCUUUUAAAAAUGCAUUUGUUUGUAUUGUUUCAAUCUAAAUCCAUGUGGUUGUGGCUAAGUCAAAGAGUCUAGCAAAGACAAUUGUUAGCCCUUACGCAAUCUUAUGAGUGUCAUUUAUACUGAGUUUUCUAAAAUUAAUGUUAUAUACUCCCUUAGCUCAGAAAUGAUAAUGUAUAUUUGAAAUUGGGGAAAAGUCCUUCAAAGUAGAUUUUGACUCUUAAUUUCUCUUAUAGUAUAAUGUUAAUAGCUUAUAAUGUUAAUAGCUAAAGACUCAAUAUCAUCUCAAAAAGACUUCGAGUAUAAAUAUAUUGAUGCAAAUUUUACACACUAAGUGUGCUUUUAAUUUAACUAAUUACUGACCAAAGUUUGUAGACUUUGAAUUUUCCUUGAUCAAAAUACGCCUACCAUUGGGAGUAAUUACAAACUACAAACAUUGUGUAAUUCAUCUACCAGUCAAGUUGGUAUUCAUUUGUUAUUUGUUUGAAGACUUCGGAAAUUCUGAAUUAUUUAUUUGAAGACUUCGGGAAUUCUAAGGUGACUAACCCUCCCUACUCUUGUUCUGCUUGGCAUAACACUACCUAUUUCUCACUAGUGUCCUUCAAAUCUCAAUUGUUUUCCCACAGUUAAAACACAUGUUCUAAAUCCAUAAACUACUACAUGAUAAAGGUCCACUCCAAGACUGGCAAGGUUUUGACCCAUCUAAUAAUCCUUUCAGUCUUCACUCUUCACAGACAUUCUUAAUGCUUAUAUAUUGAACUGUAGGUUGAAAUAACACCUGGUUCUGUUUGAACUUGAAUAGUUCAAAUUAAGUAUAUAGCACCUAUUGUAAAAAUAUCAAAAUGGAACACCCGGAUAGUUUCGGGCCUGAGUUUGGUCAGGUCUGGUUCAUGAGAAUGUUAGGUCAAGCCUGAGCUACCCAGUUGGGUUAAAUAACAUCUUUAAACCUUCGAAAACAAAUAUUUUAUUUAAAAUCAUUUAUUCAAAUAAACUCAUUAAAACUUAGAUGCACGGCUGCCGCCAGCAUGUGGGCUAGAAUAUUGUAUCCUUAUUUGGAACAGCUUCCCUAUUGCCUACUCCCUCCGUUCCAAAUUAUAGAUCGUUUUAGCAUUUCAAGGUUCAUAGUUUUUACAAUGUAUCUAGAUACAUACUAAUAGUUAUGAAUCUAGAUUUGCCAAAAUAACCUACAAUUUGGAGCGGAGAGAGUAUAUUCCUAGAACAAUUUUUCUAUCAACAAAAAAAUAGGUAUCUUAUUAGGAUGUAGUUUGAAACCAUGCCAAAUUGCAUAUUUCUUGUAGAUGCAAAAAUAAUAUAUUUCAUAUUUCUAUUUUUUUACUUUGUUGUAUUUUCUUUUUAUGUUUGGGGCUCUUUGGCUCUAAUGGAAGAAUAUGUAUUGUUUUGUAAGCCAAAUGUGUGUAUGUGAGUCAAAUACAUUAGUACUAAUGAUGAAUUUUUUGUAUUGUGUUAUGACAUGAAUUUGUUUUAUUGUUAAGAUCAAAUUAAAGGGUAUAAUCUCUUUGCCUCACAUGAAAUUAACAUUAUGUUCUUGUGUUAUUAAUUUGCCUUUGUGGACCAAGCGUAGCUUAAUAUAUUAGGUGACAUAAUCCACCUUGGUUUGAGGCCGAGUCAUAUUUUUCUGGAUUUAAUUUAGGAAAUAAUGAAACUAUGCUUUCGGCGUACGACGUGAGCAACAUGCAUGUCGACAUUGAUGUGUCGUGCUUAUAGUGUUGGGUUUGCAGGGUGAGUAGAAAUGAGAUUAAAAAAUAUACAUUUUCCUUUUUAAUAAGAAAUAAUUUGUUUUUAACCUUCUUCUUCUGUUAAUGGCUCAGUUUAGUUUUUCGAGUUUGGUUGACCCGCGACGAAUGGCAUAGGGACCUGGCAGGACCGUUCUAAGAUUUGGGAAGCCCGGGACGAAAGUAAAACUCGGGACCCUUUAAUAUAAACAUUAUAACAAAUAUAUAUGAAAUGUUACCAAUAAAUAUUAAAUGUAUGUAAAAGCAAUAUUCAUAUCCUUUUCUUUUCCUUUCUCGUUACCUGAUUCAUAUUUUCUUGACGACAUGGUAUCCUACCGUGCAGAAAUUAUUAUAAAUAAACAAUAGUUAUAAAUUAGUUGAGAUUAAAUAACUUGUGAUAGUGAAUUAAUAAUUAAUGGUAUGGGGAAUUGGCAAUUGAAUCACCUGAUCACAUAAGCGAAUUGACGAUCUCCUAUCUGAUCUCUGCCCGUCCGUCGUUGCAUCGAGGGGCGACGGGUGUGCGAUGCGAGCAGGAGAGAGGACCACCGGCAGGAUGAGGUAUUAAGGAUGAGGGGUGCGGUUGAUGAAUCAGGUUCUUGUUUUAACCACGAAGUGGGCCCACCUUAAUGUCACCUUUUACCGUGAACCAUUGUAGGCGGAGCAGUAACAAAUAUUAUCUUUUUCUGAGACCCCACCUUAAUACUAUUUGGAACGUAAGCAAUAUUCAGUCGAUUUUUAUUUCCAGAUCCGGUGAUGUGUCAAAUCCGAUUGAUUUUUUGUUUCUUGUCACUCGAUCUUUCUCUACUGCCCAUUAUUGCUACGUUGCUUCACCCUGUUGGUCUAAAAUUCGACUAACAGCAUCCCAGAUUUUACUCGAUUGUUACAUAGUCAUUCCCCUAUCUCUAUCUUUGUUCACUUAUUUAUAGAAGGGAUCAUGAAAUCCAGAAAUCUGGCCCAGACUAUACACAGAGGUAUAACCUAAUUUAUUUGGAAUACUCACACUGAGCUUUAUUGUUAUAUAUACACCAUGAAAUGAUCAGAUCAACAUGACGUGUGCGUGCUAUAGUCUUUGAAUCUAUGGCGUGCCCGCCGCGUCGCCGCCGAAGAGGCCCUUGUCGAACACCCAGUCCUCGAUCAUCUCCUGCGCGGCCCGCCCCUGCGCCGCCGGCACCAAGUGCCCGGCCCCGUACACGGCCACGUGCACGAGCGCGCCGUGCCUCUGCACGUACCCGGCGAGCCUCCCUCGCCCGCUGCCGCCACCUCUCCGUCUCCGCCACACAGCGCGGGGGGCGUCCCGGAACGCGGCCAGCCCGUCCCACUCCAGCUCCCGCAGCCACGCCUCCGCCGCCACCGGCCCGUCCUGCGCGUCGCGGAUCCCCUCGUAGAGGAGGACGCGCGCCGACGCCCCGGCGAGCAGCGCCUCCACGUCCGGCUUGGCGCUCUUCAUCACGUCGUCGUGGAACGCCGCGUCCACCGCCGGGCUUACCAGCUGCCACGGCGAGCCGCCCUCCGACGCGCGCCGCGCUCCCAGCGCCGCCCUCACCUCGGCGCUGUUCAUGAGCGCCUCGGCCACGGCGGCGGCCCCUGCGAACUCGGCCUCCAGGGACGUCACCACCGCCACGUCGAACAGCGACGCGAGCCCCGUGGCGUUCCGCAGCGACGACAGCAGACGCGCCCGCGCGUCCGACGCCUCGCGCCAGCGCGCCGCGUUGGUCAGCGCCACCGCCGCCGCUUGCAUCGCCUCGGCGUCGCGCUUCUGCUUGUCGUUGAUGAGCCCCAUGAAGUAGGCGGUGUCGGCGUGCGUGGCCACCUGCGCCACGGGGUGGACCAGGCCGUUGCCGAUGGCCACGCCCCGCAGGUUGAUCCGCCGGUGCUCCGGCAGCUCGGGGUUCGUGGCCAGUAUGAGCGAGCCGGCCGCGGGGAUGGACUUACCGGCGUAGCUCUCGCCGGUGAGGAAGAGCGGGCGCGCGCGGAACUCCGCCGGCUGGGCGUCGAAGAAGGACUGGAGCGCGGCGAGGACGUGCUCCGCGACGACGGACUGGUUGGUGGGGAUGGCGGAGGGAGACGGCGCCGAGCUGUAGCCGGUGCCAAGCGGGCUGUCGACGAAGAGGAGCCCGAAGCGGCGGUUCCACGCGAAAGGGUUGGGCGACAAGGGGGCGGAGCUGUUGUUGCGGCCGGCGGCGAAGGUGUAGGGGCCGAUCUGGAAGAAGUUGCUGACGAGGGAGGACACGCCGGGGCCGCCCUCGAGCCAGACGAGGAGCGGCGUGGAGGCCGGCGGGGUCACAGGGUGGGUGGCCUCGUAGAAGGCGAAGUAGAGAGAAGCGUUCGCCGGUGGGAUCGGGAGGUAGCCGGACUUGGUCGGGAGGGCUUCUCUGGGGAACAACGCCGCCGCCGCGGCUGAGCCAUGAAGGGCGGGGGCGAGGAAAAUGACGACGAGGAGGGAAAACGGGAGCGGAGAUGCCAUGGUACGUGUUGCCUGAAUGCUGUUGCGUGCCUGUGCUUGAACGUAGUCUUUCUUACACCAUCAUCAGAGCGCCCUAAAUAUGUUUACGUGGCUGAAAAAUCUCUGAAGCCUAGCUGACAAAAGAAAAGUCUCUCAGACGAGUUUCCAAACACGCGGCGCCACAGUGCAGGUGAGGCAGAAGUUCAAUGCCAGGUGUGCUCAGAUUAUUGAACAAGAACUCAAUUGUUUUGCGUGUGUCAGUCAAGCUCCCAUGCAUUCCCUGUUGGACUAGAAAGGUGAUGAGCUAGUAAUCAGUAGCAAGGUUGACCUGAUGAAUAGUGCAGUAUGCCUGGAUUUGUACAGGGUUCUGGUUUCAUUUUCUCACGACUACAACAAAAGCAAGUUCCAGUCUUCCACAGCCGCUCCUUCCAGAUGGUCGACCGUUCUGGUCAGUGAGAACAAUAUUUCUUCCCUGGUUGGUGAGCGGAGACAACAGCUGGAAGAGCUCUUGAAUCUAAUGCUGGAAUUUUGUAAGUUCUUAACUCAAAUGGGAGGCAAGAAAACAGAGACAGAGCAGAGUACUACAAAGUAGAACUAAAAAAACGACUAACAAGCACUAGCAAUAUUUUGCAACAACUCCCUCCGUUUCAAAUUGUUGGUUGUUUAAACUUUUCUAGAAUUAUAGAUAUUGUUAUGCAUCUAGAUAUACACUAUAUUUAUAUGCAUAAUAAAAACUAUGCACGUAGAAAAAUCAAAACGACUUACAAUUUGGGACAAAUACAAUUUGGGACGGAACGAGUAGCAAACAGCACACGUGCAGCUAUAUUUUUAGAAAAAAAAUGAUCAAUGGAGCUUGAGCUGUCUACAUAUAAUUUUGACUCGAGUUUGUUACGCCAUUGCCUGUACUUUGUACAGCUAUUGUCCAAGACUAGCACUCACAGUAGAUGCCAUGCAUAAGUAGCAAAUAUGAAUUUGAUUUAAUUUGAUUGCUUGCUAAGCACAGCAAGAUGGAGACCAGCUCCCUCGUGAACGAAGUUUUUUCUAAUCCAUUUGUCCGGAUAUAAUCAACAUUUAAUAUCACUUCUUCUGAUUGUAACGGUGCUUCAUUACCUUAAACAUGUACAAAUACUAGUGAGGCGUUCAGAACGAAUCACGUCAUGCCAAAAGAAAAAAAAAUACGGCCUCACUAGUUAAGUAGCAUUGCCAGAUUAAAGCAUUAUGUUACCUUGCUAUUAGUCAAGGUUCACAUGGGUGUGCUUAAACUAGGUUUCUAGGUUACGGUGAGCAUGAUGACAUAUACCAUAAGUUGCAUCGGAGCGCAGCAGCAUUUUCAUUUUCUUGAUUUAAAUACGAUAUCAUAUAUAUAUAUUAAGUUGGAACUAGGCUGAUUUAGAAAAGCCGUUACAAUGGCUAUUUUAGUGCUUGAAAACUAAAGAUUUAGAACUAGGCUGAUUUAGAAAAGAUUGUAUUGUUUACUUACAUUACUCAUAGGUUUAAGUGAACUAGCACAUACAAUGCUUAUGGCUCGAUGAUGGGAAAAAUCCAGUGCAAACUACUUCGGUGGAAACGUGAAAUUGUGAAACCUCCCCUAAAAGCCAUACCCUAAAGUUUCCAAAAAUUAAAAACAAUGUGCAUUCAGAAUAUAUUUAAAGAUUUACUUUGUUGCAAAAAUUAAGAUGCAAAUUUAAUGUAGAAAAAUCCAUACAAAAAUGACAGAAUUCGAAUGCAUGUGCACUAGGAGACAAAAUUUCUAGGCAUAUGUAUUCUAGUACACAAGCACUUGGAACUUUGUCAUUUUCAUAUGAACUUUUACAAAACGAGUUUGCAUCUCAACUUUGCAACAAAGUACAUCUAUGGAUGGAUAUAGAUGCGCAUCGUUUCAAAAAUUUUAAAAACUUCUAUAUAUUUUUUAAGAAGAAUUUUCAUGUUUCCACCGAAGAGGUGAUUUCCACUAAAUAUUUCCACAUAUCUACUCGCAACUUCAUCCAAGUAGAGGGCUGUUACAGAUACCCACCUAGCUCAUACCACCGGAGGAGCUGGCAAAAUUUGGAAGCCCACUACGCCCAUCGUUAAUACAUUUACCACGAAAACCAUAUGCUCCUGGUGAACAGAACAGAAGAUCCUGAGAGUAAUAAACAUAUCGGUUUGAACAGCCAAAUUAAAUUCCUUGGCCGUCAAGCUGGCGAUUCAUCGUCUUCGCGACAGCAAUAAGCAACCGCAGACGAUAAGAACUAUGAACAGGUUUGAAGAACCAAUUUUCCCACAUUAUUUGCUGACUUCAGCAUCGCGCUAAAUAAUACCAGAGUGCACAAUUAUUGAGCAAGCGAUUAUUAUGAAAAGUGCGCAAAUAUCAGAGUAUAUGUACAUCUGAUGAAUAACUUGGCGAAAGGUAAGGUGACCAGCCGAAAAUUCAGCUUCGAUGGCUCAAUCUAUUUGCACCAACUUAUGCUAUCAUUUGCAUUUCAUCAGAAGUCAAUGAAGCAGACAGUAACUAUCUACAGCUCAUCAUGGGUUUUUGCCUUAUCCAGGGUAGAAGCAGGCUGCUGGUGCUCGUGAAGAUAGCGAGCAGCCAUUGCUGCUUGUGCAGCCGCCCCGUAGGGGAGGGCAUCCUCGUUGAUGGUGAAGUAGGGUGAAUGAUGGGGCGCCUGUGGUCCGCGGGUCUCGUUGUACAUUCCCACAAAAUAGUAGUAGGUGGAGGGGAUCGCCUCGGCGUAGAAGGCGAAGUCUUCAGCACCCAUCAGCGGUUGCCUGUCCCUCACAUUCUUGGAGCCAACCAUCUCGCUGGCCACAUUCACGAAGAAAUCAUGGAGCUCAGGGCUGUUGAUGGUUGGGGGAAAGAAAGGGCGGUCCUUGGUGAGGAAGUCCACAGUAGCACUGCACCGCUGCACAGAUGCUUGAGAGACAAUUACCUGGGACAUGAAAGACAGAGAGAAGCUGAGGAUCUGCUGCAGGACAAUCCACAGUGAAAUUCAAGUAAAUUGUUGAAAAACUCUUGAGGGGAAUAGUGGGUAAUUCACACAGAUAAGAUGACUGUCAGAGUUAUGACCAUUGUGACCCGGACACUUCCAUCUGCUGACCUUCCAACACUUACUAGCUAUGAGAAAAUUUGUUUUGCAAGUGCAGUAAAACCAUUACUAAAGUGAAAGCUACAAGGCUGCAGCUGCAAUUUUCAUUAAAGUAGUGUAAAAGGAAAAAAAAAAUCUAUUAUGCAUGCUCAAACAACAAACUACACACGGUCCUGUAUCCAUGCAAUUAACCUUAUUCAUGAAAGAAUAAGAGUCAGGAACUGCUCUUGUGUUCAAGCUAAAAGCAGUACAAUCGAGUAAAGAUGGAGAAUAAGGGAAUGCCCCACAUUUUAGAUGCGCACCAGCUUAUUUGUUUAUCUGGUUGUAGUAUAUAUUUAAAUUGGAUAACAUCCCAGUGCCAGAGGAUGAGGUGACACUUACAAGUACCCAUUUUUCUACAGCUAUCAAUAAAAUGUGCAAAUUCAUCUAUUCAAUAAUUACUACUGUAGUUAGUCAUAGUGAUCUUAACAAGAAGUUCAAGCAGUCAUUUAUUUAACGCAAUUUUGAGUCCUUUUUCUUCCAAGAGAACCUGAUCCGCACAAAAUAAUUAAGAAACUGACUAUUCAGUUACAAUAAGUUCCCAAGUAACUAAUGCUGUUACCUCUUCAAUUCGCUGCUUCAAUUGAUUAAAACUCUCUUUCAAAAAGGCCCGGAAGGUGCCACCUAUUGUUACUGAAUCAGGGAUAACAUUGAAGGCCCCACCUCCUUGAAAUUUUCCAAUUGUUACAACCUGCAGAACAAAGCAUGGACCAAAGGAAACAAUUUAUAUACUGGUUUGUAAAUUUGCCAAAGGUUCAACAUAGAGAAAGUGCUAGUCAGUGCACUGAACAAACUGAUGGGGUCCUGGCCUUCUGGGAGUAACAUAUUGAAUAAACAGCCAAAAUUCAGCUUCAAUGGUCCAAUCUAAUUUUACCUAUUUCUGCUAUCAUUUAAUUUGUAUAUGGAACUAAAAAUUCCUCUAUCAAACAACUUAAGAGUGUAAAACUUAAGUUUUGAAUGUUAUAUAGUAAUGGAUGUGGAACAAUUUGUGCUGCCUAGUUCUAAUAAGUACAGGCAAACUUGGGCUGGCCUCCUGGGUUGUUUCCAUACUAAGAGCAGGAUAAAAAGUUCAACACGAUCUUGACCAAUUUAAAAUAAAUCAUCUACACACAUAGCAAAAUCAUUUUAUAAAAAAUUUUCUAUGCUUGUUCUGCAAUUUAGACCAACAGAACAGUACAUCAUGCAACUUCUGCGGAAGGGAGUUAUGUCAAUCAUACAAAUAGAUAUAGAGAAAGGUUGUCAAGAUCAUGAUUCAUUGCUUGGGAAUUUAUGGCAGGCAACAACAAAUUAAGUCGGUGAAGGGUAAGAUGGUACCUGUGAGUCCAAGGGAUCAGCUUCCCGGGAAACAAGUUGCUGAAGGCUCACAAUAACAUUUGAGGCAGCCAAUAUCGGAUCUAUAGUGUGAUGAGGAAGUGCAGCAUGCCCUCCCUUUCCACUUAUUACAGCCUCAAAGAAUCCACUCCCAGCCAUAAUAGGCCCUGGCCUGGAUGCCAGCACACCAAUAGGAAUAGAGUCAGCUAUGUGAAUCCCAAAAAUGGCAUCAAUAUUUUCCACUGCUCCAGCUUCUAUCAUUUUCUGAGCCCCACCACCACCUUCCUCGGCUGGUUGGAAAACAAGGACUACAGUGCCCUACAGUAAUCAACAUGAUAUUCAUAACCAUUGAAAUUUGUUCUAGGUGAUAAAAAUUCAAUGAUUACAAGUCAAUUCAUAUACUGAUAUGGAGGCAACUGAACUAAGUGAUUCGAUAAGGAGAAUUGCCGAUGGACUAUCAGGAUUAGUUGUGUGCUGUCUAAACAUAAUUACUCGCUUUCCCUAAAAACAGUAAUAUAAGCAAUUGACAAAAAUGCUAAAUCUAUUGCAAAAGGUUGACUAAAGAAAUGAAGUAUAGACGAAUAAAAAAAGGCAGAAAGAAA